rnacentral:rRNA from 1 species
AUUGAACGCUGGCGGCAGGCCUAACACAUGCAAGUCGAGCGGAUGAAGGGAGCUUGCUCCUGGAUUCAGCGGCGGACGGGUGAGUAACGCCUAGGAAUCUGCCUGGUAGUGGGGGAUAACGUCCGGAAACGGGCGCUAAUACCGCAUACGUCCUGAGGGAGAAAGUGGGGGAUCUUCGGACCUCACGCUAUCAGAUGAGCCUAGGUCGGAUUAGCUAGUUGGUGGGGUAAAGGCCUACCAAGGCGACGAUCCGUAACUGGUCUGAGAGGAUGAUCAGUCACACUGGAACUGAGACACGGUCCAGACUCCUACGGGAGGCAGCGGUGGGGAAUAUUGGACAAUGGGCGAAAGCCUGAUCCAGCCAUGCCGCGUGUGUGAAGAAGGUCUUCGGAUUGUAAAGCACUUUAAGUUGGGAGGAAGGGCAGUAAGUUAAUACCUUGCUGUUUUGACGUUACCAACAGAAUAAGCACCGGCUAACUUCGUG